UACAGGGGGGGCAAGCGUUGUUCGGAAUUACUGGGCGUAAAGGGCUCGUAGGUGGCCGACUAAGUCAGACGUGAAAUCCCUCGGCUUAACCGGGGAACUGCGUCUGAUACUGGAUGGCUUGAGUUUGGGAGAGGGAUGCGGAAUUCCAGGUGUAGCGGUGAAAUGCGUAGAUAUCUGGAGGAACACCGGUGGCGAAGGCGGCAUCCUGGACCAACACUGACGCUGAGUGAGCGAAAGCCAGGGGAGCAAACGGG
rnacentral:rRNA from 1 species